UACGGAGGGUGCGAGCGUUGUCCGGAAUCACUGGGCGUAAAGAGCUCGUAGGUGGUUUGUCGCGUUGUUCGUGAAAACUCACAGCUCAACUGUGGGCGUGCGGGCGAUACGGGCAGACUGGAGUACUGCAGGGGAGACUGGAAUUCCUGGUGUAGCGGUGGAAUGCGCAGAUAUCAGGAGGAACACCGGUGGCGAAGGCGGGUCUCUGGGCAGUAACUGACGCUGAGGAGCGAAAGCGUGGGGAGCGAACAGG
rnacentral:rRNA from 1 species